rfam:Otolemur garnettii contig181854, whole genome shotgun sequence.
AACUUUGCACACUGGCAGCACUGUUGCCAAUGAGGUUUAUCCAAGGCGCCAUUAUUGCUAAUUGAAAACUUUCCCCAAUACCCUGUCACAGCUACUUGUAAUAUACUUAGUUGGCACAGGCAACUCCCUGCAGAGA